AACUUACUAUAUAUAUUUUUUUCAGGCUUUUAACACCUUCAUAGAUGAUCUGUUUGCUUUCAUCAUUACAAUGCCAACUGCCCACAGAGUAGCUUGUUUCAGAGAUGAUGUGGUAUUUGUGAUUUACCUCAUACAAAGAUGGUUGUAUCCAGUUGACAAGAAGCGUGUAAAUGAAUAUGGAGAAUCAGGAGAGGAGCCAAGGAAGAAACAGGACUAAUUUCUACAGAAUAUAAUUUUUCCACUUUUUAGAAAUCAGAUGCACAAAUAAAUAACUGUAGAGGUGUUCAUAUGAAUUUCAUCUAUAUUAGGUUAUUUUCUAGUGCAUUUUCCUCCUUAAAACAUUCCCACUAGAAUUGGUUAGGAAGUACAUUCCAUUAUGGUCCUGUUUUUGGCUGUUGGCUAAUAUACAGUGCAGGAUUGGUUUGGCUGAUCAUUAAUUUAGCACAAAUCUUAUUUUUUUCAUACUGACCAUCGUGUACUGUUACUAAGGGAAUAAACUAAUUGUGUGUUAAAUAUACUAAUGCAUCAAUGCAGGAAAAAGCCAGUUUCACUUUGCUGAGUGGAUAUAAAGCAAAGACUUUUGACUGAGUCACCUUUAAGAAAUUAAAUAAAAUAAAAAUAAAAAUUAUUUAUGUUUUGCAAAUGAAAGGGGGGGAAAGUAAAUAUAUGGAUUUUGUGUAUCCUACAGAUUUGUAUUUCAUACUUCCUAGGUCUGCAGAUGAAAUGCUUAUAAAUUAGUUGAUAUCUAAUACUUUAUUUAUUUCUUAAUAAGAUAUGUCAGAUAAGUGUCUAGGACUGUGAUUACUAUUUCAUUAAAUACAAAAUAAAAAGUAUGAAUCAA